rnacentral:lncRNA from 1 species
GAGAGUGGGUGUUUGUUUCUGUUACGUACCAUAUAUGCAUGCAAACCUCAAAACCUAAGGUAUUGGAUAUAAGAUGGAUAGCACAAAUGGCACCCAAAAAAGAUGGAUAACAAAAAAGAGAUGGACAAUAAAUAUAUAUAUUUGCCAAAAUUUUGAAUUUCAUACAAUGAAAUGUUAGUAGAAUUUUACAAGAGAGUUGAGAUCAGUUAGGUUCAACCAAGGCAAAAAAAUAUUUAAAACAAGGUUGAGCCUAAGAUU